rnacentral:rRNA from 1 species
UACGUAGGGAGCAAGCGUUAUCCGGAUUUACUGGGCGUAAAGGGCGCGUAGGCGGCCUUCUAAGUCGAACGUGAAAUCCCCGGGCUCAACCCGGGAACUGCGUCCGAUACUGGGAGGCUUGAAUCCGGGAGAGGGAUGUGGAAUUCCAGGUGUAGCGGUGAAAUGCGUAGAUAUCUGGAGGAACACCGGUGGCGAAGGCGGCAUCCUGGACCGGUAUUGACGCUGAGGCGCGAAAGCCAGGGGAGCAAAGCGGG